rnacentral:rRNA from 1 species
AUUGAACGCUGGCGGCAUGCUUUACACAUGCAAGUCGAACGGUAACAGGGAGCUUGCUCCGCUGACGAGUGGCGAACGGGUGAGUAAUGCGUCGGAACGUGCCGAGUAGUGGGGGAUAACGCAUCGAAAGGUGUGCUAAUACCGCAUACGUACUGAGGUAGAAAGUGGGGGACCUUCGGGCCUCACGCUAUUCGAGCGGCCGACGUCUGAUUAGCUAGUUGGUGAGGUAAAGGCUCACCAAGGCGACGAUCAGUAGCGGGUCUGAGAGGAUGAUCCGCCACACUGGGACUGAGACACGGCCCAGACUCCUACGGGAGGCAGCAGUGGGGAAUUUUGGACAAUGGGCGCAAGCCUGAUCCAGCCAUGCCGCGUGUCUGAAGAAGGCCUUCGGGUUGUAAAGGACUUUUGUCCGGGAGCAAAUGCCUGGUGUUAAUAGCACUGGGAGCUGAGAGUACCGGAAGAAUAAGCACCGGCUAACUACGUGCCAGCCGCCGCAGUAACAC